rnacentral:tRNA from 1 species
GGGCAAGUGGCGGAACUGGUUAUACGCGUAGGUCUCAAAAACCUAUGGGAGCAAUCCCGUGUGGGUUCGAGUCCCACCUUGCCCACCA